GGAAUGCAUUCCCUGGCAUUGCUUACCCCCAUCCAGCUGAUCCACUGUAUACAGAAAAGUGAAUGAGAUUAGAGCUACUCUUCUCAAAGUUAUUAAGAGCCUGCUCUCUGCAGAGUCCCCUAUGCCUCUGCUUAGCCUAAUGAAUUCCCACAAGAGUCCUAGGCAAAAGCUGCCCUUCCACACAGAGGCAGCCAGCAGCUGUAAAUCAUAAAGGAAACACCCAAGAUCCUCUAAAGUCUGGUAGAGGAGUUAAGAGUUGAGAAACAUGAAUGCAUGCCUCCUACUUCUUGGAAAAACAGAGAGCCUUGCAGGUUUGAUUUUGUCUUUCCUCAAGUGGAUAAGGAACUGCUCAACCCCCCCUAGGAUGCCUGAACACAUUGCGGCUCUGAAGACUGUGGCUUUGGUCUUCCUGACUCUCUCAACCUGGUCUUAGACUUAGUUUCCCUCAUUCCCUCUGACAUUUUCUGAUGUUGGCUGGGGAAGUUGAGCUGGGUCAUCCUUCUCCUGAGAGCUUUCAACAGGAGCUCACCUCCCACCAAUGUGUCAGCUUUGCUGAACUGCUUGUUGAUUGCAGCCAACUGGAAAGCCAGCUGUCCACCUCUGUGUCCACUGUUGUCCCAGUGGUUGAAAUCAGAACCCACUUGAGUUUGCCUCCAGUGAUUUAUCUUUCCUUUAUAAGAUCAAAUUCAUACUGAAAUAAUGCAGGAUCAUGGAAUGACUUGGUGUGGUGAUGGCAAAGAAGUUUACCUAAAUAAGUGAGUGUUUAUUCAAAUUAGAGUUCUGCCUUUUGUGGUAGAAACAUGGAGAGAGAGAGGACUUUCAAGCCAAGCAUGCAAGAAACAAGCGAGGGACCUGAUCUGCAAAAUCAAGAUUUGCAGGACAAGCCUGCAUGUAGACCAAGGUGAUUAUCUGUCAAUCAAGGAGAAGAUUCCAAAGGGAAUGUUCCUGGAGAUGGCAGUUGAGCUGGCCAGGGGGAUGAUCUGAUUCCGUCUCUCUCUUUGGGGUGAACUGACCAAGAAAGGACAGGGAAACCUCUGAUCUGACCAAAGGAGGCAAGCCUGGCUGUAGGGAGAAGAAGCUGAACUGAUUAUUAUUAGUUUCUGUCCCAGGCUGAAGGACCCUUGAGGAGGGCUUCUGAAAGUAGGCUGAGAGACCUUGGUGGCUUUGUGAAGAAGAAAAGAAGAUUUUAAAUAUUUGUUCUCCAUCUCUCUAACUGUCCCUCUAUCAUAGUUGUUACUCGAGUGAUUUCCCAAACCCUCAAAUUCUUAUUAUAGAUUAGGGAAACCCUCAUCCCUCUUUCCUCAGUUCCCAUUCUGUUGUUUCCCAAUAAACCCCUUACCUGAGAAAGAAAAAAAAGAGUA
rnacentral:lncRNA from 1 species